AUAGUUUCUCAGCCUUUUGGCUAAGAUAAGUGUAGUAUCUACUCUUAUCAGUUUAAAACACAAUGUUUAUUUUCUCCACUGGUGUUAUACGUUCAUACGACCUACCUUGCAAUAAUCAUUUUUAAAUGAUAAAUUAAU
ensembl:snRNA U2 U2 spliceosomal RNA